UGGGCGCAACACAACCACACCACCAACCCCCAGGGAAUACUAGUUGUCUUUCGUUUACCAUUGCCUACAUAUAUAUCAUGCCGUAUAUAUGCGUGGAAUACUAGUUGUCUUUCGUUUACCAUUGCCUACAUAUAUAUCAUGCCGUAUAUAUGCGUAUAUAACUAGUUGUUAUUGUAAAUCGGGUGCGCUUUCCUGCUUCCCCAAAUCUGUUGGCCAAAUCAGACCGAUCUCAAGCUGAAGCGGAACCAAUCAGAGCCGAAUCGCAUCGAACAGGGCCGUGCCAGCGUUUGGUGUUCAAAAAAAGA